UCCUAAGGUUACUUUUACCUUAGCCAACUAUGCCACUUGACUCGGUCUUGAGUCAAUCCACUGCGGAUAGUCCGCACACUGGCUGCUCAACAGCCCAUCGCACUCAAGGACUUAGCCACCCGGCGGCGAAAUCGUCGCACACGCCCAGCACUGGCUCAAGUCACCCUGCGGCAUAAUCCACAAACCCGGCUCAACCGGUAUAGGCCACAAAUUGGCUCACCCAUCCGGCGGCGAAAUCGUCGCACACGCCACGUCGAUGGUAUAGCCCCGGACGACGAAAUUGUCGCACACGCCCAACACCACUUUGG
rnacentral:lncRNA from 1 species